AUUGAACGCUGGCGGCAGGCCUAACACAUGCAAGUCGAACGAGUGGCGGACGGGUGAGUAAUGUCUGGGAAACUGCCUGAUGGAGGGGGAUAACUACUGGAAACGGUAGCUAAUACCGCAUACCAUCGGAUGUGCCCAGAUGGGAAUAGCGAGUAGGUGGGGUAACGGCUCACCUAGGCGCAGAUCCCUAGCUGGUCUGAGAGGAUGACCAGCCACACUGAACCGGAGACCCGGUCCAGACUCCGACUGGAGGCACCAGUGGGGAAUAUUGCACAAUGGGCGCAAGCCUGAUGCAGCCAUGCCGCGUGUAUGAAGAAGGCCUUCGGGUUGUAAAGUACUUUCAGCGGGGAGGCGUUACCCGCAGAAGAAGCACCGGCUAACUCCGUGCCAGCAGCCGCGGUAAUUC
rnacentral:rRNA from 1 species